UACGGGAGGCAGCAGUGGGGAAUAUUGCACAAUGGGCGCAAGCCUGAUGCAGCCAUGCCGCGUGUAUGAAGAAGGCCUUCGGGUUGUAAAGUACUUUCAGUCGUGAGGAAGGUGUUAAGGUUAAUAACCUUAGCAAUUGACGUUAGCGACAGAAGAAGCACCGGCUAACUCCGUGCCAGCAGCCGCGGUAAUACGGAGGGUGCGAGCGUUAAUCGGAAUUACUGGGCGUAAAGGGCACGCAGGCGGUUAAUAAGUUGGAUGUGAAAUCCCCGGGCUUAACCUGGGAAUGGCAUUCAAGACUGGUUAGCUAGAGUCUUGUAGAGGGGGUAGAAUUCCAUGUGUAGCGGUGAAAUGCGUAGAGAUGUGGAGGAAUACCGGUGGCGAAGGCGGCCCCUGGGACAAAGACUGACGCUCAUGUGCGAAAGCGUGGGGAGCAAACAGGAUUGAUACC
rnacentral:rRNA from 1 species